AAUCGGCAGAGGCAGCUCUGACACAGCCUCGUGAAGCCUGUUCUUCCAACCUACUUCUGCUGCGUCAUUUGUCAAUUUGUCAUGCCCAGAUGUCAAUGAGUCACAGCUAGUAGCUUCAACUGACCUAUUUUUGCCUUUGUCACGCCGCAGGAUCCAUAUGAACGACGCGAAAGGGUUCAAUGCUGUUCUGUGACCGUCAUUGCUAAGGAUAAAUGUUCCAUGUGGUACUAAGGAAGACUGCCACCUGAAGUUUGAAAGAAGGAUCACACCUGACCAGAGGCAUACUUAAGAUUAGCAAGAUGAGGCCUUUUGGGUCUCGUGCAGCUAUGAACGUAUCAGCAAAAACAAGUGAGUGGUGGAGAAGAAGGAUGUGGCCCCUGCCUGACACCCAGUGUGAUGCAGAGCUCAGAAUGCAGAACAGAAGAGGUCAUUCCACUGCAUCUCCCUUCAAUUCUUCAGCAAUUCUUCAGCAGUUCCUGUUAUUCCAAUAUAUAUGAUGAAAUGUUUACAGUGGUACCUCGGGUUACAGACGCUUCAG